GUCGCAGGCCGUGUCGCAGGAGAUGUCGGGCCCGGUGCAGGGCCUCACCGACAUGAGCGACCAAGACCUGCUCUCCUACAUCAACCCCAGCACCUUCGACCAGGUGUAAGCGAGCUCCGCGUUGAGAUAGUGUGUGUUGUUGUUGUGUGGGAGGGCGAGGAGGGCGGGGGGCGCCGCCGCGCCGCGUCAUGCAUUUCUUAGUAAUGUGUUUAAGGGCUCAAAAGCAGUUUUUAUGUGAAUUUUUAAUGGAUGUUACUAUAUCCGCUAGUUGUUAAACGUAUACGUAGAAAAUUAUAAUCUCUAUAUAAAAUAUAUCGGAUAAAUGUGACGAAUGAAUGUGUUUUUUUUUAUUAUUUUACCACAUGUAAUAGAAUGCGUUUUGAUACGGCAAUUAAAUCAUGUGUGUCAGUAUUACAGAGUUAAAAUUAAACGUGUUGCAAAACACUGAUUUAGGAAAAAAUGAUUUUUUAAUUUCAUAAAAUUUAUAAGACAUGAAAAAAUAUCGUAUUUGCCAACCUUCGGUUCCAAUAGUGUUUUGCAACACGCUGUAUACAUAAAAAACAGAAACUUAUGUAUUUUCUAAUAUAAUGUAACUCAUUGUAAGGAACAUUGAGAUGUAUUCUCAUAUCAUUUUUUUCGAAUUCGAAUUUUAAUAUUAUGUACAUAUAUGUAAGCUUUAUAUUUCUAUUAUUGUUAUGUUAUGAAGUUAUGAUACAGUGUGGUGUCGAUCUUACUGAUAUCCUGUUUGUUAUUCUGAUUAAAUUAUCUUUUAUUGUUUAAAAACAAACGUUAAUAAAUAUGAAAUUUGAUUGUAUAAAUUGAGGUGCGAAAAUUUACGAGCAGAAAGUAAGAUUGUCGCCACGCGUUAAUGUCCAUUUGUAAUUAAAAUUUAUACAAAAAUGUAAUCACUUGGCUUUGAGUUUUUUUAGACAUUUUAUUUAGAAACUUGGAUAGUUAUUCAGUAUAUCCGACUCGAAGGACCAAGUGGUUACUGAUCGCCAACACGAUAAUACGGCAUAUAAAAAAUACUAGUAUAAACAAUCAUUUAGUUGUUAUAUAUAAGGACAACAGUACUGAAGUGAUUUUAGAGCAAAGAUUAUAUGCUAUAAUUACAUAGAUUAAAAA